AUCCAGUUGCCAUCGGGCGAGCCGGGCACUCUGGAGGGACUGCCGGCGACAAGCCGGAGGAAGGUGGGGAUGACGUCAAGUCAUCAUGGCCCUUAUGUCCAGGGCGACACACGUGCUACAAUGGCCGGCACAGCGGGAAGCGGAGGGGCGACCCUGAGCGGAUCCCUUGAAAGCCGGUCCCAGUUCGGAUUGCAGUCUGCAACUCGACUGCAUGAAGUUGGAAUCGCUAGUAAUCGCGGAUCAGCCAAGCCGCGGUGAAUACGUUCCCGGGCCUU
rnacentral:rRNA from 1 species